rnacentral:rRNA from 1 species
CACGUAGGGGGCAAGCGUUGUCCGGAAUUAUUGGGCGUAAAGAGCUCGUAGGCGGUUCGUCACGUCGGCUGUGAAAACCUGGGGCUCAACUCCGGGCCUGCAGCCGAUACGGGCGAACUAGAAUUCGGUAGGGGAGACUGGAAUUCCGUGGUGUAGCGGUGAAAUGCGCAGAUAAUCAGGAGGAACACCGGUGGCGAAGGCGGGUCUCUGGGCCGAUGAUUGACGCUGGAGGAGCGAAGCGUGGGGAGCGAACAGG